GGGGCUGGGGCCGGAGCCGAGC
rnacentral:miRNA from 1 species